GGAGAGGUGGCAGAGCGGUUUAAUGCGAGAGUCUUGAAAACUCUUGAGGGUUCACGCCCUCCGUGGGUUCGAAUCCCACCCUCUCCGCCA
rnacentral:tRNA from 1 species